UAAAUUAAGAGACAUAAAUUAGACGCAUAACAAUAAAUUAGAGGAAAAACAGAUCAACUUGGUGAGAUUAAUCGGAUACAAACAUGAAAUUCUUGAAUAAAAGCGAGAAUAAAACCAACCCUCUUCCUUUGUAUCGAAACCGAUCGAGAUCAAAAAUUUCAAAUGAAAGCGAAAGCUUCUUCGAUCCAACGGGAGUCAGAGAGUGAGAGCCGAAAUUCACGAAAUUAGGGAACUAAGCCAUCAAAUUUGGUGAGAUUAAUUGAAAACAAACCUGAAAAUUCAUGAUGAAUAGCGAGAUUUAAACCAAAAAUGUUCGUCUUCAUUGAAACUGAGAUCGUAAAAUUUCAAAUGAUUGUGAGAGAGAAAGCUGAUAUGUUUUCUCCUUUUCCUUUUUUUACACCCCCCGGGGCGAGGACGAAGGCGUGGGGCCGAGAGAUAAAGAAUUUCGCUGUUAUUUUUUUUUAACUUUUUCGAAUUUCAAGUACUACGAAAUUUUAAAAUAUUAUUUAUUCUUCACCAUUUUCUUCAGUUUUAGCUUUCUAUAUAGAAUUUUAUCCCAAACAAAAAAAGCUUUCGAUAUAUAAUUAGUUAAGUUGGUUAAUAUAGUCAAAUGUUUUUGACAUUAAUAAAUGUCAUGAAUCCUGUUCCAAUUUUAUUGGCAUAAUAAACAUUUCUUUUUUAAAGUGAUAUAAAAUGAAUAUUUUUACUGUCAGAAUUUAACUCAACCUAUUUAACUGUCCUUAAAAAUUAUCAAAUACUAAAUGUCAAAAUUUUCUUUUGGGGAUUGCCAAUUUCCUACUACUAAAAUUCACUUACUUCCUACUAUUUUCAUAAUAGAUAAUAAUCCCAAUAGUAAAAUUUCACAAUAUUAUUCUUAUUUUCAAAUACACUUUUAUUAAUAUUUAUUAUAAAUUAAAAAAUCAUAUAGACGUAAAUUGAAUUAAAAAAUUUAAGUAUUACAAAUUAGAAAUCUGCUGUACCUCACUAGUGGUUAACUGCUGACUCAGCCAAGUGUUGGCUUCACUUGAUUCACCGAUUGAGGUUAUUUUGUCUUCUAUCUAAUGCAGCGAAGAAGCUUUGCUGCUUAACAUGCUGCAAUGCAACUUUAUCCUUUGAAGUUCACACUCCAGGGCUGCGCACUUUAUGUAAUCCUAUGAGUAAAAAGAAUUUGUUUUCAAAUGUGAAAAAAGAAAAUGUAAGGUAGUAACUAAAUAUAUUAUAGCAUCAAAGCAAGAUUUGAUAUGAAUUUAGUACAACAAAGAACAUCAAAUCUGUGAUUCCUUGUCUAAUGUCACCAUCGAGCAACAAAUUUAAAAGCCUACCUAUCAAAUACACGAGGCAAUAAACGGAGAAAAAGUUGAAUUACAAGAACAAGUUUACAAUUCUUGUCAAUGGUUAAUGAUUUGUGAACUGAGAUAUCAUUCAAGAAUCCAAUUUCAAUACAACAACCUAAAAGAUAAACAGAUGAUGAAUUUUAUGAGAUAAAAAAGGAGAUCGUGUUUUAUCGUAUCUCUAUUUUCUUUCUUUUUAAAUUUAUGAGAUAAAGCGGUUGGUCCAGUUACGGUGUUAUGCUAACGGGUUUAAAGGUUCCGAUCCAAUGAGUUAGGGUGGAAUAUGAAUAUAUAAAUUCCAUAGCAUGUAAGGACUAGGAUUUGUUUGUUCAUAUCAAGAAAAAAAAUCUGAAAAUUUGAUGAUCAGAAGAUAAAAACACUUAAACACGUUUAUUUCAGAGAAACAAACGACAACAUGAAACUAGUAGUAGUUAUUCUUUUCAUCCGAUAUAUUACAUGGUAAUAUCACUACUCGUUCCACUGGUUUCAUAUACACCAUCGACCAGCAACAUGAUAAUUUCGUGUCAGUUCAUUUUGUUUGUAGGAAAGAGCAGUGUAUUUCUUAGAGCUUGAAAAUAAUAAAAAGAUUUUAAAAUAUAAAUUGCAUAUUUGUUUAUUACUGUUGUUUGGUCUAAUUUCUUAUGUAGAAUUGCUUGUCAUUCUUUGGACGUUAUUGAUUAUAUUUUUAUCAGACUUGGCGUAUAUAUUCACAUACGUUUUAUUUUGUCAUUUUGGCACUUUAACUCAUGAUAUGAUGGUCCAGGUUUUCGAGGACCACUAUAUUGUAUUGAUUUAAAAAAAAAAUUAAUAUUUUUUAAUAUUAAUAUUCUAAAUUAUAUUCAGUUAAAAUAUUAAAUAUUAAAUACAUUCUUAAUAUUAAUAUUCUUAGAUGAAAUUCUUUUGCUGACUUAAGAAUAAAAUAUUAAAUAAUUUUAUUUUUCUUUUAUUGUGUAACGUGGACCCAAAAAAAAAAAGGAAAUGAAUUUAAUAAAACCUUCAUUCCGCCACCAUGCAUGUUAAUUGUUUCCAAAUUCCAACCUCCGUAGUCCGUACUCUCUUGAGGAGUUUCCCAUUCAUCAAUUAUUAUUUUUUAUAAUCCAUAUCAUCCUGAUAUAAUUAAACACCAUUAAUAAUGUACCAGCCUUUAAAUAGUAAUUAAUUUAUUUAGUUUGCCACCUAAAAGAAUCCUGCAGGAAAUAGAGGUUAAAAAUUUUAUUAAAUUUGCUUACCGCUGUAUCAUUAUAUAUAUAAAGAGGGAAAUCUAAAUGAAAUUUUUUAUCAUCCAUUCAGCAAACACUUAUAAUUCACAAAUAGUGAAUCCAUGCAUUGACAAUGUGGAUUAAGAAUUAUAACACAUGAAUUCAAACAUACUGAGUUUGAUAAUAGAGUUGUAUUAUGCCAUAAUUGUAUUAAAAAUUGCAUUUUUUUUUAUAACAAGACAUAAAAAAGCAUAUUUUUUUAUGUCUCAGCAAACACUUAUAAUUCACAAAUAGUGAAUCCAUGCAUUGACAAUGUGGAUUAAGAAUUAUAACACAUGAAUUCAAGCAUAUUUUAAAUUAAGAGACAUAAAUUAGACGCAUAACAAUAAAUUAGAGGAAAAACAGAUCAACUUGGUGAGAUUAAUCGGAUACAAACAUGAAAUUCUUGAAUAAAAGCGAGAAUAAAACCAACCCUCUUCCUUUGUAUCGAAACCGAUCGAGAUCAAAAAUUUCAAAUGAAAGCGAAAGCUUCUUCGAUCCAACGGGAGUCAGAGAGUGAGAGCCGAAAUUCACGAAAUUAGGGAACUAAGCCAUCAAAUUUGGUGAGAUUAAUUGAAAACAAACCUGAAAAUUCAUGAUGAAUAGCGAGAUUUAAACCAAAAAUGUUCGUCUUCAUUGAAACUGAGAUCGUAAAAUUUCAAAUGAUUGUGAGAGAGAAAGCUGAUAUGUUUUCUCCUUUUCCUUUUUUUACACCCCCCG
rnacentral:lncRNA from 1 species